GUCGAGGCUGUGUGUCGGAUUUGGGUGGUGGAGUAACCGCCCGGCAUGCUCUCCAAGACCUUAUCUUGACUGCUGCUUCAGGCCAGCUUCAGGCAUGCACUUGGUCGACACUGAAACUUCAGGAGUGUGCACCCUUGGGACUGGAGAGAUAGAAGACUCUGGGCGUAACAACACUUACAGAGGAGCUAGGGUUUGGACAUCAGUGGCUGGUCACGUCAUGGACAAUUCCAAUUCCAGAAGAUCUGGUAUCUUUCUCUUCCGGUCUCUGCUGGCAUGGUAUGAACCUGGUGCACAUACAAGACUGAGUCUCACUUUUCUUGUUCUCUGAAAACGUGAUCACUUCAUCUCCGUUCAGCUUGGAUCCUUCCCGCCCUUCCCCCAAUUUUCAUUACUCCCAGGGUCCAUGAGCAUACAGCAGGCAGUCAAGUCCACAGCCAAGACACUGGGAGAGCUUGUUCACAAAACAAGACAAAACAAACAAACAAACAAAAACCCACUUAUUGAGUCAGACUGUGAACAACAAAAGAGUACCAGGAGAGGCAGGGAAACCAGAGCUGACAGGCCUCACACACAUGGGGCAAGGUGCAGACAGGUGUUGGUGGCCUCUUGAGUCCCCAGUGGGGCUGAUUACCAAGAACUCCCAAGGGAUGGCUGUAGCAUGGGGACAGCAGGCACUGGCCGCCUGCUUGUUCUGAACCAACCCCUGCUCUUCUGCAGAGACAACAGCACCGCAUCCCCUGGGACCGUACUCCACCAAUUCCCAGCUUAAAAAAUACAAAUAAGAGUUCUAAAAAGACUUCAUGUGGCAAAGCCACCCAGAGAAUUGUGGUCCUGGUCCCAGAGCCAGCCUGCUCUCCAGAUCCCAGGAGCUUAGGACAACACUACAGGAUACCAGUCCCCCUCCUAACACCCAGGGGAUGGAAGUUUCCUUCUGGGGACAGGGAAGUGGUCUCACCAUAGGGCAGAGGGAGAGGGAAACUGUAGGAAAUGAGGUUUCUUGCAUAGAAGAACACCAGAGCCUCCUGUUCUUCAGUGUUUGGAAGAAUGUGGCAGAUAAUGGUGAUCAGAGAGGGAGCUGGUAUGGGGGAGGUUGAGUCUGGAUGCAGACUUCCUCACCUACAGGUCAAAUCUUGACAUCGGUCCCCAGACACUCACGACUGCUCUGAGGCAUGUGGUGUGUAUUUUGGGGAUGUGUGGAGUCAUCUGGCAGGGCAGGGUCUGUUCCCACAGAAGCACCCAGGGAACUCAAUGUCCCUAGCAAGGGAGGUAGGGUAGGGGGUUCUUGUACUGGUAACCACUCUCCAAAACUCUCUCUGCCAGCAGAAAGGGAGGUAGCAAUGGAGGCUGGCACAGUGGCUAACUGCUAGUAACCUAUGUUGGUGAGAGCUUUUUGCUACCCCACCUAAGCUCCGGGAUUGGGCCAUGCUACCAGCCCCCGCCCAACUUCCCUUGAAUCCAGGGAUAAAAGACACAGAAACACACAGUUGUUUGUUUUCAAUUUGCCUUCUUGGCACAAUGGCUGGGUGGUACUAUCUUUCGCCUGGAAAACGUGGCCUUAAAAUCACUCUUGGCUCUGCACCUCCCACCUGCCCUAAACUUUAGUGACAAGUCCCAUCUAGCUCCUGCUAGAUGCCCCUGACCACCGCCUGUAGGUGUGGCCUGUGUGGCCACUCAGUUUUGAGAUCUCAUAUGGCCCUGGAAACUCUGUCUCUCCCUCUUUGCAUCUCUCUGCUUGCCUCCAGGGACCUGGAAGUCCCGCCUAUCCCAUCUGCCCAGCAACUUUCCUGUGGCUUUCUUUACUGACAGAUCAAGGACCAAUUGGGGAACAGGACCUUAGAAUCAGAACUGCCCCUACAGCUCCAGUUUAUAAAUAAAUGAACUUUUGUUAGUAUAACGUUAGAAUGAAAAUUUCCAUUCAGUUUGUAGAAGAAGCAGACAUAAGUGGGCUGGCCAUGUGAUUUUUGCCACCAGGUGACACAACUGUAAUUUUUUCAAACCUUGUUUUUAAUGGUGGUUCUUAAACACUUUAACUUCCCUUGUAGCCCGCCAUCCACCAGAGGUAGUGGGAAAGAAAGGAUACAGGGGAAGUGGACCUGUUUAGAAAGGAUUUUUGGAGCAUCUCCUGUCUGUGUUGUCUGGAAAUUGUCAGUUCAGUUCAUAGGUCAGCAGGCAGCGGCAGCUCAGCCCACUCACAAAUUUCAUACUUCACGGAUACACCAGCAGUCCAUUUAGCAACAGCGGUGACACGACCCAGCAGAGACAGCCAGGCCUCAGCCUCGGCUCCAGUCAGCAGGAACAGCAGCAGUUCUCAGCUGUGCUUCUCUCAGGGAAGUGAAGAUCAGCGAAGACUCAAGACCCACAAGCAUUGCACAACUAGCUGUACCAGCAAGCCAAGCUCUGUCUCCGUCACUCCAUGGAGUCCUAUUUAUACCAUCCAAACAUCACGUGCUCUCCACAUGCCUCCCCUCAGCACCUGCGUUCAAUCACCCUGUGUCCGAGGAAGCAGCAACAAAUCGCAGCACGUCACCAGAAGAUUUUUCUCUAUGGAGUCCUGACAAAUGCAGCUCAACUAUGCAAUCAAUGUAAGACAGACCAAUACAUGUGUGUCCUUUCACGUGCCAGCUUUAGCAGAGCAUCCUAUCUCCUGUGUCUGCUUCAGGGAAACGUUCCUUCAAGAGUCUGCCUUAGCCUUCCACACCUGUGUCCACUUUAAUGAAAAAGUCCUUUGUGUGUUUGCCCCAGCAAAACACCAUCACACACAACUGACUUUCCAAAGAACGCUUAGUUUCCACUUCAGACGACAGCCAUCUGCUCUUUGCUGGGCCGCUGGGCCAGCGCUCCAUCAGGAUUAACAUUCAGAGCUUCAGGGAUGGUAAAGGGUCCCUUGAAAGUUACCCAGCACAGGUGAGUGAGGAGGUCCCGUGAUCCCAGACAGAAAGCAGACCAGGAUUCAGGGGACCUGGAUGACAGCCUUGGUCUUUGUGUUGAUAACUGUGUCAUGUAUGGGCAAAACUGCCACCCCUCUGGGCCUCAGUUUCCCUCCAGUGCCAGGAGUGGGGUGACAGCACAGCUUCCCAUCUGCGAGAUCAUCUUGCUAACGUGCGCACAGUUCUGACUGAGGGUUAACUCCCCCUGCCCUGAACUUUCCCACAGCCCAUUUGCCCUUUGGAAAUUAGGCCAUUAAAUAAAAGAGGCAUCUCAUGGGAGUGGAAGCUUUAUUUGCUGAGAGGGAGGGACUUUGUUUCACACUACGGAGUGCACACAGGCUCCUGAGCCUUGCCGGAUCGAGCAGGUCCCCGCCUGCUCUCUGCAGGGCCAUCACAGGGCUUUCAGGAGCAAGUGCCUGAGUAGGAACCAGUCUUCUCACUGGGACCCCAGGUCCAGGGAGGAGGGCAGAGAGGUGGGAGGCUCUGGCAGCACCCGCUGCUCUCUGUAGCCUGGGGCGAGUCAUUUAACCUCAGUGCUGCUCCAUCUCCAGCACCUCCUCCCCUCUCUCCUCUCCUCCCAGGGACCAGGAGAAAUAAUUAGUAGUGGUUUGUCAGACAAGAUCCAGCUUUGCAAAACUAACAGGAGCAGACCUUGAACCAGGCAAGGCCGAAAGGAUGCAAGAUUUCAAUGUGCAAAAUUGAAUAGGGAAGAAAAAGAAAUCAAUCAGAAAGCAGGAGAAACGAGUCCCAGGAGGAAGGCCCCAUGCUGAGAUGUCACCCACAGGCUUGAGUAAGCAGUGGCACCCAGAAGCUGGCCUCUGUCUACUGUGACUCCAGUGUGAUUUCAGCAAGCCGCCUUCUCCUUGAUGUCACACCCAGGCUCUUUGUGGGACUGUACAGCUGAGGCCCGAUGGGGAUUCUCCUAGACCUGAUUUCAAACCCCAUCCAUUUCUUCCACUGAUAGCCACAUUCUUACUGUUGCCUCCCCCCUCUCCUAAGACUCUUUUCCUGAUUGGGUGGCUUCUUUAACUGGGUGCCAAUGGCACCUUGCAGUUCAGAGGCUGUACUGGCUAAUUUUAUGUCAACUUGA